CCUACGGGAGGCAGCAGUGAGGAAUAUUGGUCAAUGGGCGCAAGCCUGAACCAGCCAAGUCGCGUGAGGGAUGACGGUCCUAUGGAUUGUAAACCUCUUUUGUCGGUGAGCAAGGCCCGCCACGUGUGGCGGGAAGGAGAGUACCCGAAGAAAAAGCAUCGGCUAACUCCGUGCCAGCAGCCGCGGUAAUACGGAAGGUCCGGGCGUUACCCGGAUUUAUUGGGUUUAAAGGGAGCGUAGGCCGCAUGUCAAGCGUGCUGUGAAAGUUCCGGGCUCAACCCGGGCCGUGCAGCGCGAAGUGGCGUGCUUGAGUCCGCGAAAAGCAGGCGGAAUGCGUGGUGUAGCGGUGAAAUGCUUAGAUAUGACGAAGAACCCCGAUUGCGAAGGCAGCUUGCUGCAGCGGAACUGACGCUGAUGCUCGAAAGCGCGGGUAUCGAACAGGAUUAGAUACCCUUGUAGUC
rnacentral:rRNA from 1 species